AUCAUUAUUUUGGCUAAGAUCAAGUGUAUCUCUUCUUAUCUUAUCAGUUUAAUAUCUGAUAUGUCCCUUAAUUGGGGACCGUAUAUUAAAUUGAUCUUUGUAAAAGGGAGAUGGAAUAGGGGCUUGUUCCGUUCACUCCACAAAUCAACCUAGUAUUGUAGUAUUUCUAAGAAUAGUGUACCCUCC